CAACCCUCAAGCUCUGCUUGGUAUUGGGCGUCACCAGCGAUGGUGCGCCUCAAAGACAGUGGCGGUGCCGUCUGGCUCUAAGCGUAGUAAUUCUCUCGCUAUGGACGUCCGGCGGAUGCUCGCCAGCAACCCCUAAUUUUUAAA
rnacentral:misc_RNA from 1 species